CACUGGUCGAGUCGGCCUGCGCGGAAGAUGUAACGGGGCUAAACCAUGCACCGAAGCUGCGGCAGCGAACGUAUCACUUAAAGCGAUUCAGCGGGUUACGAUUGACGGAGCGAAGCGACGUCAAAGCGUAUACAAAGUCGAGUCGGUUUAAGGAUACGUUCGUUGGGUAGGGGAGCGUUCUGUAAGCCUGUGAAGGUGGCCUGUGAGGGUUGCUGGAGGUAUCAGAAGUGCGAAUGCUGACAUAAGUAACGAUAAAGCGGGUGAAAAGCCCGCUCGCCGGAAGACCAAGGGUUCCUGUCCAACGUUAAUCGGGGCAGGGUGAGUCGACCCCUAAGGCGAGGCCGAAAGGCGUAGUCGAUGGGAAACGGGUUAAUAUUCCCGUACUUGGUGUUACUGCGAAGGGGGGACGGAGAAGGCUAUGUUGGCCGGGCGACGGUUGUCCCGGUUUAAGCGUGUAGGUGUGUGUUCCAGGUAAAUCCGGUUCACUUUAACACUGAGGCGUGACGACGAGGCACUACGGUGCUGAAGCAACAAAUGCCCUGCUUCCAGGAAAAGCCUCUAAGCAUCAGGUAACAUCAAAUCGUACCCCAAACCGACACAGGUGGUCAGGUAGAGAAUACCAAGGCGCUUGAGAGAACUCGGGUGAAGGAACUAGGCAAAAUGGUGCCGUAACUUCGGGAGAAGGCACGCUGACACGUAGGUGAAGUGAUUUACUCAUGGAGCUGAAGUCAGUCGAAGAUACCAGCUGGCUGCAACUGUUUAUUAAAAACACAGCACUGUGCAAACACGAAAGUGGACGUAUACGGUGUGACGCCUGCCCGGUGCCGGAAGGUUAAUUGAUGGGGUCAGCGCAAGCGAAGCUCCUGAUCGAAGCCCCGGUAAACGGCGGCCGUAACUAUAACGGUCCUAAGGUAGCGAAAUUCCUUGUCGGGUAAGUUCCGACCUGCACGAAUGGCGUAAUGAUGGCCAGGCUGUCUCCACCCGAGACUCAGUGAAAUUGAACUCGCUGUGAAGAUGCAGUGUACCCGCGGCAAGACGGAAAGACCCCGUGAACCUUUACUAUAGCUUGACACUGAACAUUGAGCCUUGAUGUGUAGGAUAGGUGGGAGGCUUUGAAGUGUGGACGCCAGUCUGCAUGGAGCCGACCUUGAAAUACCACCCUUUAAUGUUUGAUGUUCUAACGUGGACCCGUAAUCCGGGUUGCGGACAGUGUCUGGUGGGUAGUUUGACUGGGGCGGUCUCCUCCUAAAGAGUAACGGAGGAGCACGAAGGUUGGCUAAUCCUGGUCGGACAUCAGGAGGUUAGUGCAAUGGCAUAAGCCAGCUUGACUGCGAGCGUGACGGCGCGAGCAGGUGCGAAAGCAGGUCAUAGUGAUCCGGUGGUUCUGAAUGGAAGGGCCAUCGCUCAACGGAUAAAAGGUACUCCGGGGAUAACAGGCUGAUACCGCCCAAGAGUUCAUAUCGACGGCGGUGUUUGGCACCUCGAUGUCGGCUCAUCACAUCCUGGGGCUGAAGUAGGUCCCAAGGGUAUGGCUGUUCGCCAUUUAAAGUGGUACGCGAGCUGGGUUUAGAACGUCGUGAGACAGUUCGGUCCCUAUCUGCCGUGGGCGCUGGAGAACUGAGGGGGGCUGCUCCUAGUACGAGAGGACCGGAGUGGACGCAUCACUGGUGUUCGGGUUGUCAUGCCAAUGGCACUGCCCGGUAGCUAAAUGCGGAAGAGAUAAGUGCUGAAAGCAUCUAAGCACGAAACUUGCCCCGAGAUGAGUUCU
rnacentral:rRNA from 1 species